CCCUAAAUAAUUAAAGUUUUGUAUUUUCAACUAGAGUUCAAUAUUAGCUUAUGAUAGUUAUUAUUAUCAUUAUUAUUAUUACCAAAAUUAUUAUUACUGUUAUUUUAGAGGCAGGUUAUCAAUAUGUAGUCCUAGCUGUCCUGGAGCUCACUAUGUAGACCAAGGCUGGCCUCAAACUCACAGAGAUACACCUGCCUCUGCCUCUGCUGGGAAUAAAAGUGUGCACUACUACACAUGAGCCUAGUUCAUGAUGUGUUUUAAAUAAUUUAAUUUAAAAUAUAGACUACUAGACUUUGUUUUGACAGUAUUCAUGCAUGCCUCAUUUUGGUUGCUCUCUCCCCCUCUCUUUCCCUAUAUCUCUCUGUCUUCCAUCCCUGCUUGUUCCCUUCUGCUCUCAGUGUUCCUCCUUACAGUUAUAUAUCACGAUUCUUUUCUGAGGGGAACAGAAAUCUACAUAUAGCAGAAUCCACAGAUUUUGCAGUAGUGUUAUGUAAGUCAGUCUUCCAAGAAGAUAUGAAAUAUUUCUAUACCUUGGAAAGUUUCCCAUCUGUCCUCUGGGCUGUCUCCAUUUUGACUUCUAACACAGAGUAUUGCCCAUGAUUUUCAUAAGUAGAAUCUAGAGACUUAUUAUAGACUGAUGACAGGAGUGUUUGUGAGCUCUGUGGUGCAUGACAUGUCUCUGAUCAUACCACAGAUGUUGGAACUAGGAGCUGUGUUUCUUCCACAAUAAAUUUUUGUAAAAGUAUAGCCCUUCCAUAAAAAUGAAAAGGAAUGUAUGGGCACAAAAGAAUAACAGUGGUGAGGAGCCAAAUUUUGUUUGACCAAAACGAAACCUAAUACUUAGUAUACUAAUUAAAAAAAACCAGUCCUUUAUUCAGCAGACAUUUAGCUAUCUGAGACCGUCCUAAACACUGUGGCAGACAUUGUAGAAUCAAAUGAAUACAGAUAGUAUUAUAGGGGUUGUGAUAAAAAUAGAGAGUAUGGUACAGCACCAAGGAGGGCACAGUUUGGCUCUUUCAACCUUGGAAACAGAUAAGGAAGAUCUCAGAGAGGAGGGGAUAUUUGAGCUGGGUAUUAUAAAGACCAAGAUGGCCAGCCUUCAUAUAAUUAAAGAGUAAGAACAGAGAUUUGAAGAUGAGCAGAGGAGUGAAGGAGUGUUGUGGGGAAUAGUUUUCCUAAACUAGAAAGGCUAUAUAGAUUAAGCUCAAGUGAAAAGUAUGUAGGGCUUUACACAACAUGUGAAUGUUUGCAUUAUUUCUGCAGUGCAGGGAGAAUUUAAAAGAUUUAUUUGUUUAUGAUGUUUGCUUAGGAAUACUAUACUCAAGAGACUGAAAAACUUAAAGAAAUAAGAGAGAUUUGCUUUUGGUUGUUCUGGAAGUCACUGUAGAGCCUAGCCUAGCUUCAUACCAUACUUGUGUCUCUGCCUCUAGUGUUUUGAUGUUACAGGCAUAUGUAGCCAUAUCUAAUUUUAGUUAGAUGUUUAAGAGUGCCUUAUGAUCAACUUAUAAGCACAUUUCUUCUUUGUGUUAUUGAACUAUAAUUUUAUAUUAUCUGACUCUUCCUCUGUUUAUCUUUCUGAUAUGACAGGCAGUAUGCCAGUAUCUGACAAAUCCCUAUAUAUCUGACUCCCUGCUUGUUAUAAAGCUGUGAAUGUAUAUUAUAAUUACUCAGGCCAGUCCAGAUGCAGUAACAUUUCUGAAACAACUGCUGGCAAUUUGGGAUCCUGGGUUUGGGGCUAUCAGGUAAUCAUGCGUGACUCCUGGGGCAGUCUUUGCCCUUUGCUGGUACAGUUGUGCUACAACAGAGAACAGAAAUAGUUUGUCACCUAACUUGCAUUCAUGUGUAGAUGCUGUUGCAUUAUACCAUGAGACUACCAAUGAGUUUUUCAUUCUCUCACCCAUUCAGCAGACACACAGUGAGUACUUAUCAUUGAGCAAGCUCUCUUUAUGCUUCAAAUCUAAAGUCAUACACAACAUGACUCACCAGCAAAUAGAGAAAAAGAUAAAUACAUUAGUACUAUAGUAGACUUUCCCAAGUCCUGGAAAGGAGGCAUUAUAUGGAUAUGUGGAAGAAGUAAAAUCUCACUGGACUCUCUCUGUGUCAGAAUUCUUUUACCUGCACAGUAAGAUUAAUAAUGGUGAUGGUGGUGUUGGUGGUGGUGUUGAUGAUGAUGUUUUUCUUCUACGGUUGUCUUGCAGAUUGAGAGUUCUUCCUUGGCAUGCAAGCCUACACACCCAUUUGUUGUCCUUUGUCAGUGCUUCCAAGAUGUAACACAUUUGAUACAGAGUUAACCAAGUCCGCAUCAGAGUUGGCUCUAUGUACAUCUGACUCUGAUAUCACAUUUUUCAUGUCUCCCUAGGUUGUCAACUAUUCAGCUGGCAACCAGUUAAUUAAAACAUUCACCAAGGGCUGGGAACAUAACUCAGUAGUAAAAGUGCUUGUCUGUUAUGCAAGAGGCUGUGUUUCAUGCCUAGUACUGGGAAAAUAGUUCUGGAAAUCUGUGAAUGCCAACACAUACAUCUUCAUUAGUGCUGUGGUGGAAUUCUUUGUAUUCUCUCUCUCAAACAAGAGUCAGAUUGGGCUCUCUAUACUCACACCCAGUGGUGCUGAAGAUUGCUGCCAGCCUGGCUUAAUUUAAGCCUGUGACUUUAGACUCAAUGCUAUUUUCAACCCAAAGAUGCCCGUUUCCAAGUAAAAGGUGAGACCUUUGGACAGAAAACAGAUUAUCUUCUACUGGUUUAAUUUUUUAAAACUGUGUUUCUCAUUUUCAGUUGGACUCUUCAAAACUAUACUAUUUUGUUCAGCUGUGUAAAGUGGUUGUUGGAAGCUAGAAACAUUGGAAGGGCAUUGAACACUGAGAAGGUCUCUGGACUAGCUACUGGGUCUGACUUCAUCAUUAGUUCUGCUGUCACAAAAUAUCCAAGACUGGGCAAUUUACAAACAGUGUAAACUUAUUUAUCACAGUUGUGUCAGUGGAAAUCUAAAAUGAAGGUUCUGACAGGUCCUGUAUCUAGUAAAGGCGUGGUCUCAGUUUCUAAGAUGGCACUUGGCUGGCCUGGCACUCACAAUGUAGACCAGGCUAUCUUCUAACUCAUAGAGAUCUGCCUGCUUCUGUAUCCCAAGUGCUGGGACUAAAGGAGUUUAUCAGCACAUCUGGUUUUUUCAGCCUUUUGAUGAUAUUGCCAACGUAAGUCAAUUACUUCCCCAAAGGAGCCACUUCUUGUUACUACUAAUCUAUUACUGGUGGAGGUGGAGUGCUCACACAGGUAUGCCAAGCACUGAGACUCUAGGCUCAUCUCUAUUCUACCAGAGGAGGAAGAACUUUGCCAGUUUAAUUUCACUCCUGGAGGUUAUCUUUAGGGACAAUUUAUAUGUUUCUUUUAACAUCCAAGACUUUAAACUUAUAACCUUAUAAAAAGCCAAAGAUUAAAUGUAACUAAAUGGAAUCUUUAUCCUUUGUCUGAAUGUUUAAUAUAUGAAUUUUGGUCAAAUACAAUCUCCUUUCGUACUGGAUUCAACUACUGCAGAUAAUUCUUUUAGUCACUUGUUCACCUGCUUAUACUAUUUAAAACUGUCAUGAGCUUCAUCUUCGUUUCUGAGAAGUGGGGGGCAGAGUCUGCGAAAGACAUUUCAGAACUAGAGCAGAACUCAGUGGGCCUUCAUAGCUAUAAAGAGUGGUGAAAGAACCCCAAAAUUUGGGGAGACUCUCGCUCCAGUCUCAGGAUGGCGGCGUGCCCCAGGACACUCGAGAAGCCGAUCUUGAUGUAAUAACAAGAGGCAGCUUUAUUAACGAGAUCUCGGACUGACACCGAGGUCUUGGGCCGACAAGCAUCUCACGCAGGAGAUAGAGGAGCCGACCACGAGCCUCUUCAGGCAGGGGUUUAUAUAGGGGAAGCCAGGGGAUUUCUCGAGGUUACACAGGAUUGGCUAAUUCAAAGAACUCACAGUUAUUUUUGGCGCGGGAUUACAUCAGCAAAGAGUACAGUGCUAUCUAGCUGCUCAGCAGUGUGGGUAGGGUGACUCAUCUCACUCAGCAGGGGGAUGACCCAUCCUCAGGGAGUGAAGGAAGGGGAGGAGGUGACUCCAGCCGAUCGCCAUGGAAAUAACUGCCAUGAGGACCGAGGUUUGAUCUGUACUGUUGUCUGCUGAACCUGUUCUGCUGAUGAGCUCGACAUGAGCAAUGGUGACCUAGACCCGUGGUCAGGAGAUAGAGUUACUGAAGAUCUCUCUGAUACUCUGGUGGCAGUCAGCAUCCCAGAGAGGGUCCGUUAUUUAGAUCUGCGAUCCAGCACCCACAUAGAUCCGCCAUCCUUGCAGAUAGCUCGCUCGGUGGAAGUCAGACACAUGAAGCAAUGAAUCUCAACUUUCUAUGGCAACUACAGAAGGCAUCCCUGAGCAACUUUUAAAUAUCACCAUUUUUACUCUCCUUUUUUGUUCCCUCCACCUACGUACCCGUAUUCACUUUUAUUUUUUUAAUAUGUAAUUACUUUCUCUCAUUUUAUUUGUUGGGUCAAGGUUGAGACACAAAAGAGUGACAGGGUAGGCAUAGCCAUCCCACCUAGGUGACUCCUCUGGUUUCACUGUCUUUGUGUCAUCAUGGCAGCUCACAGGCCAUCAGAACUGGCGUGGUUCCUCACUGCCUUUCACCAGAGGGAGAACCCUUCUCUCACCAGCGGGGACGCCUCCUUGGUUUUGAAGCUGAAGUCUCUCUGGCCCAUUGUAAGCCCCCAUUCGUGCACAAAAGGGAAGGCAGAAGCUCGAUUCAAAACGCUGCAGCUGCCUCUGGUAGGAUGUGGGAUGCCAGUCCAGGAAACAGGGCAGCUUCCUUUGAGCCCAGAGUGACUCUGAACUGGGCGGCCAUAAAGAGCCAGGCAGACCUACCUGUGAGUUGCUCCAGUCUCCCUCCAGCUGUUGGGAGGUCAGUGUGCCUGGGCUGGCUGCUUUUGGAAAGUCCUUUAUCUCUUUCCCACUUGGCAGCUCUCCUUAGUUCUGGGAUAUUUGCCACCGGUAGUACUGCCAGGAAGGAAUCAGGCCUUCUCCUGUUCCAUUUCUCUUUGUUUCAAGGUCAGUUUUGUGGUAAUUUACUUAAAAUAUGCCAACUUAGGAAAAUCGCUGUUUGGUCUUUCACUUUAGAUGGGAACAGGCUCGACGUUGUGGAUAGUUCAGUAGAAAAGACCUUUAAAUUAGAUGAGUAAGCUAUUCAAAGAUCAGAAUGUAGUGCCGGUUGUCUUUAAAAAAUAUUUUGUCUUCUGAUGAUCGUUGCUACCAGAAUCAUUAAAGCCUUAAGCAUCAGGAUACCAAACAACAGGUGAGGUGGGGACUUUCUUGUAUGGCUUUCAGAAGACAGAGUAACUCAUGCCGGCAGCAUAUUUGACAUUAAUAAAUGGCAGAGCCUUCCCAUUUCCCAGGAGUUGGGACUUUCACUGAGACUUUUCUUUCAAGAGGCUUUUCUAGGAUGGGAAAUAAGGUCGAAUUCAAGCAUUUCAGAGGCACACAGAGACAGUUUCUUUUCUGCCGAAUAAGGUUUUUUCCCCCAAUUUCUUUUUUAUUUCCUCAGUAAAUUUCUUUUCCCCUGUCUUUGGGAACAUAUAAUGCCUUUUUAAAAAGGAUACUUGGGCUUGGUCAUUUCAAAACCAAAAUCUCAGUUAGGAGAUUGCUGUUUCCCUUCCCUGGCAUCCAGAAAAAUCCGGGUCUUGGUUUGGAAGCCUUUAGUUCUCACUCUAAUGAGCUGACCUUAGAAACAAUUUGAGUAGUACUUUGUCUCAGCAUCUGAGAACUGUCUUUUGGGGUAGAUAUUCAAGUUAAGACAAUACUAGCAUUUGUCUACUAAGAAGUUAUAUAGAACACCAAUGAGGCUUUAAUACAGGGCAUUCUUAAUUUUUAUUUGAGACUUUUAGCCCAUUUCUUUUUACUUAUUUAGAAUCCUUAAAAAACUUUUGAAAUGUCAUUUAGUAUCAAUUGUUCGGAGGCAUAUUUUUCUGAAGAAAUAAGUUUUAAAACAAGAAGGCUUUUUGAUUUUAUAUUGUACUAUAUAAAGUUAGCCUAAGUGUAUUGUAUUAAAUUUUUAUUUAAGUUGAAAAGCAAUACAUAUCAAGUCUUAUUAAAAAUGGCUGGGCAUGAACAUGCCAUCUCAGCGCUUAAGAUGCAGAGACAAGAGAACGUGCUUGCAAAUUCAAGGUCACCCUUGCCUAUGUAGUGACUUCCAGGCCAGCCAAAAAGCAAAGUUGACUCAAAACAGACAAACACUAAAUCUAAAACACCAAACAAUAGCCAACAUCCCAGCCCCCAAAAGGUUCUUUUUGCAGUGUUUAGUAUGUUUCUUUAGUCUUUUUAUUGUAAAAAGUUCUUAAACCAUAUACUAAUCAUAGUGGGUUAUGAUGUUGUGAUAUUUCUCCCAAUGUUCUCUUUUCUUCUUCAUCCCAUUCCUGCCUAUCGGGUUUCACUGGGGCUUCUCACAAGAGCAUAAGCAAGAGGAUUAGUUUGUUUCUUUAACAAGAGCAUAGGCAAUGCCUCUCCCUCUCCCAGCUACCAUUUAAUUGUCUAUGGAUCUUCUGGGAAGGGUAGAGUCUCAUGAACCUCUUCGCCAACCAAGUCAGAAUGUUGAUGGGCCCAGUCUUGUGCAUGACUGGUGCGGGCAAUCGCAGCUGCUGAGAGUUCAAGAGUAUAACUGUCAUGCAAUACUUGCGAAACAGCAUUGUGCAUCACUCCACUCCUGGCUCUGAUGUGAAGGGAUGAUACAGAUGUCGCACUUACAGGUGAACACUGAGCUGCUGUUUAUGCUCAACACAUAGAUAAGUUCUGAGUCUGUACAAUAACUGCUGUCUCCUGUAGAAAGAAAGUUUUCUUGCCAAAGUGCUUAAAUCAGCACUAGUUUAUAGGAAUAAACAGAAACAUCUAGAAAGCAAUUUUAUGGACAUAUAAUGUCACUUUAUCAAAAUAGCAGUGUCAGCUUCCCGCUAAGACCAGUGUUCUCCCCAAUCAUGGACCUUCUACCAAGUUUACAGUUGCAAAUCCACUCCUGUUGAGCAGGCCUCAAUCUCAAUAAGAAAAUGGCUGGUUAUGCUCCAAAUAGUCAUGCUACUACUAAACUUGUUGGCAUGUCUGACAGCUUACUGAUACUCACAGUGAUGUGCACCUGCAGCCCUGGGUUCAAGGACAGCCUGGCAACAAACUGAUAAUCUUUGUAAGGAAAAGGAGAAAGCUUGUUUAAAGAGUUUGUCCACAUUUUCUGUAUCUAUUCCUCUGUUGAGGGACAUCUGGGUUUUUUCCAGUUUCUGAUUAUUAUAAAUAAGGCUGCUAUGAACAUAGUGGAGUGAACAUAGUCCUUGUUAUAUGUUGGAGCAUAUUUUGGGUAUAUGCCCAGGAGUGGUAUAGCUGGGUCCUCAGGUAGUACUAUAUCCAAUAUUCUGAGGAACCUCCAGACUGAUUUCCAGAGUGGUUGUACCAGCUUGUGGUACAAUUUACACAAUGGAGUACUACUCAGCCAUUAAAAACAAUGACUUCAUGAAAUUCACAGUCAAAUGGAUGGAACUAGAAAAUAUCAUCCUGAGUGAGGUAACCUGGUCACAAAAGAACACACAUGGUAUGUGCUCACUGAUAAGUGGAUAUUUAAAAAAAAGCUCAGUGCCCAUAUGAAGCUCAAGAAGAAGGAAGCCCAAAGUAUGGAUGCUUCAAUCCUUCUAAGAAGGGGGAACAAAAUAAUCAUAGGAGGUAGAGGGAGAGAAGGACUUGAGAGGGAGAGAGGAAGAAGAUGGAAAAAGAAGGGCAAGACCAGGUAUGGAAGGAGAUGGGGGAGAUGUACAGAGGUUCAGGAAAUUGAACAAGGGUGUGUAGUAGUGGGGGAUGGGGAACUGGGGGCAGCCACUAGAAAGUCCCAGAUGCCAGGAAAGCAAGAGGCUCCCAGGAUGCAACAAGGAUAACAUUAGCUGAAAUACCCAACAAAGGGGAGAGAGAACCUGUAAAGACCAUGUACAGAGGUUAGGCAUGGCCCUAAUUAAGAAAUGGGACCACCCACCUAUCUCAAAAAUAUUAACCCAGAAUUGCUCCUGUCUAAAGGAAAUACAGAGACAAAGAGUGAAACAGAAACUGAAGGAAAGGUCAUCCAGAGAUUGCCCUACAUGAGGAUCCAUCCCAUAUGUACACACCAAACCCAGUCACUAUUGCUGAUGCCAAGAAGUGCUUGCUGGCAGGAGCCUGAUAUUGUCUCCUGAGAGGCUUUCCCAGAGCCUGACCAAUGCAGAUGGGGAUGCUUGCAGCCAACCAUUGAACUGAACAUGGGGACUCCAAUGGAGGAGUUAGGAGAAGGACUGAAGGAUCUGAACGCCAUAGGAAGAACAGCAAUCUCAACCAACUAGACCCCACAGAGCACUCAAGGACUAAUCUACCAACCAAGGAGUACACAUGGAGGGACCCAUGGCUCCAGCUACAUAUGAAGCAGAGGAUGGCCUUAUUUGGCAUCAGUGGGACGGGAGGCCCUUGGUCCUGUUGGAAUUCAUUGCCCCAGUGUAGGGGAAU